GAUGAACGCUGGCGGCGUGCCUAAUUCAUGCAAGUCGAGCGAACAGACGAGGAGCUUGCUCCUCUGUCGUUAGCGGCGCACGGGUCAGUACCACGUCGAUAACCUACCUAUAAGACUGGGAUAACUUCGGGAAACCGGAGCUAAUACCGGAUAAUAUAUUCAUCCGCUUGAUUCUAUAGUCAUAGACGCUUUUGCUGUCACUUAUACACGGAUCCGCGCCGCAUUAGCUAGUUGGUAAGGUAACGGCUUACCAAGGCAACGACGCCUAGCCGACCGGAGAGGGUGAUCGGCCACCCGGGAACUGGGACACGGCCCAGACUCCUACGGGAGGCAGCAGUAGGGAACCUUCCGUCAUGGGCGAAGGCCUGACGGAGCAACGCCGCGUGCGUGAGGAAGGUCUUCGGAUCGUAAAACUCUGUUAUUAGGGAAGAACAAAUGUGUAAGUAAAUAUGCACGUGUUGACGGUACCUAAUCAGAAAGCCACGGCUGAUUACGUG
rnacentral:rRNA from 1 species